rnacentral:lncRNA from 1 species
GCGCCUGAGGAGCCAGGGCCCCCUGUCCAGGGGGCGGGCAGGCUGCUAGCCAGCGGGUGACUCGACUUCCUCUCUAGCCUUCCCGGAGAUCCCCUCCCACGUCACCGCCAUCAGGUCUCCGAGGAAGUCAGCUUCUGGCCUCAAAGCUGUUCUGAAGCUCCUGGGAGGAAAAGGGAGGUGAGGUGGCAAGAGCCCUUGCGCGGGAUCAACGGACGGGGCCCCUAACUCGGUGUCUGUCACGCUUGAGGCGGCCAUGGGGGAGACAACGUUAUCCACUUACGAUGACCAGACCACUGAGCUUGCUGUCCCAAGAAAGAACAAGGAUAUGAUGUUGAAGAAGUGGAAUGUUUGAGCUUCUUCCUGUUCCAGUGGGUUGUUGGGAGAAGCUGGAAUUGGAGUCAGGAAAGCCAGUGAGUGAGAAGUUUUCUUGAUCCCAGGAAUAAGUCCCAGAGAGGGAAGGUGUGUGCGAUUGGUUGAGAGGGAGGCUAAGGUGAGAGGGCUUCUCAUCUACUUUCUAUUUGGGAUUCUAGAAGGAAAUCACUGUUUAAGGUGAGCGAGCAGCACAAUGGAGUGGGCCCAGAGGAGGAAAGAGAGCAGAGUAGAGUAGAAGGCAAAAGGAGGGCCCAACUUGAGCUUCCAGUAGCUCCUGUGUGGUGGGGAAGGGACUCAGAUCUUCCUGCCUCCUCUGUAGAGGACACAGAACAGGGCUAAGCUGAGAGAUAACAGGUCUGCCAUGGGGAGGUCAAGCUGACCCCACAGCAGAAGUGGAGAUAAAGACACUGAAUGGAGGAUGUGGCAGAGAUUCAAAAGAGUCUGAAGUGCUGACGAGAACAAUGCUGGGCUUGAGUCAGCUGAAGUGUACCACCAAUCCUGACCAAGUGGAGAAAAAUGACUAUCCUCUGAAAUACUCCAGCUGUAGACUAGAGCAGUAGAUAAGAGCAGAAAACCAGAGACAGCACCUGUGAGACCUCAGUGGACACCGCUCCAGGGAGCAGCUCACCCCAGCCACCGACUACAGAAACUGACAACCAAAGGUGAAGUACAAAAAGAAACCUACUGAUAGAGCUGGGAAUUCGAAAGCUAC